UAAAAUUUGAAUAUCCUUUAAUAAUUCCUGACUCAUUAAACUCGCUGGUAUCCAUGCAAGAGCUUCGCAUCCCAGGUGCCAACAAACUUCCUCGACAGCAUGUUUCAUGGCUUCCUCCUCUGUUUGGGUGCUGGAAGCUUAAUGUGGACGGAUCAGCUGGAAAGCCUGGGCCGGCCGGCGUUGGGGGUGUGCUUGGAGACUGGUCUGGGAAGGUAAUCUUCAUAUUCUCAAAGCAUAUUGGUUUAGCAGACUCAAAUUUGGCAGAACUCUUGGCUAAUGUUGAGGUUAUAUCGAUCGGUGUUGAAGCAAAACCAUAUCCGUUGUCAGUUAUAACUGUCGAAAGUGAUUGAAUCAUUGCAACAUCAUAGCUUAAGAAAAUCAGUGAAAGCCCUUGGCGAUACAAUGCAAUUAUCAAUAGAUUUCUCAAUCUUCAAGCAUGUAUUGAAAAAUUUUCUUUUGUCUACAAUUUCAGGGAAGCAAACAGUUUUGCGGAUUCCCUAGUUAAGUAAGGUGUGUUAUGAGAACAUGACUUGAUUGCUUGGCUAUAGUUUGUAUUCAGCUUCUUCUUAAUAAAAUUGUGAUUCAUUUUUUUUUUUUUUAAAUAGGAUAGUCUGCAAGUUCAAGUUUAGUUCGCUAUUUUAGUUGUUGUUAUCCAGUUUUUCAAGAUGCUUUAUAUGUUUUUGUUUUAUUUUCAAAUCUACUUUAAGCCUAUAAACCCCGUUUUUACUAUUCCUUUAGGUUAAUCAUACUUUCAUAGCAUUUUAGGUCAUAAGUUGCAUGUAGUUUGCAUUUCUUGUUUGGUUUUUACCUUAUAUUUUUCUUUCAUUUUUGCUUGUGAUUUCCUAGGUUAGCUGUUGCAUUUUAAGUCUAUUUCACAUUUAUAUAGAAUUUUUUUUUUACAUUAAUUUACAUUUCAUGCAUGUUAAGGUGAUAAAUAGUCAUAUAGGUUAUGUAAGAGUUUAGGUUAGUUUACUUGUAAGUUUAAUUUUCUGUUUUUAUUUUAAUUUUUUGCAUUUAAAUUGUUAAGUUCCAUAUUUAAUUUCCUGAUUAUAUGUGUUUAAGUUAUCUUUCAUGCCUUGCUAAUUUUUUCUUAAAAGUUUAAAUUUUAUAUUUUUAGAAACUUUCUAUUUUUAGCGUAUUCUAUUUUUAGUAAGUUUAGUCUUUAGGUAGUUACUCUUUCCAUAAUUUGUGAUAAUUAGUUUGUAAUUAUUUGGCUAUUUUAAUUUGACAUAGGCUAAUUAGAAAACCAAAAAAUUUUGGUUGUCUAUAUAUAUUGUAGGUGUAAAAAUGGUACAUAGCCUUGAGUCUAGCACCUAAUCUCUGUGAAAAUGAUAUUUAAUAUUACCUACUUUAUUACUUGUGCGGCUCGUAUAUUUACAAUUGUAAUCUAUCAAUACAUCAAAUAAAGAAUAAAAGUUAAAUAUGAAUGAUCUACCGUAAACACCUACAAAAGAAAAAAAAAAAAGAAUCAGAGUUAAAGAUAAAUAAAAACACCUAUAAAAGAAAAAAAAUACUUAGAUGAUUUACACUUUGCAAUACAGUAAGAAGAAAAGGUGCAAGCAAAGGUGGAGAACUAACCACCAAAUAAAAUUUAUGUUAAAGAAUGUGUUAUUUUUAAAAGAUAUAUAUAUAUAUAUAUAUAAAUUAUUAAGAGAUUAAAUUUAAUCUUUUUUAAUAAUAAAAAAUUAUUUUGAAAUCUAUUAAGAUAAAACUAAAUUUGAUAUUUUUAAAUUUAAAAAGAUAUACAUCUAAAUUAUUAAAAAAAUUAAUUUUAAAAAAUAAAAGAUAUAUAUUUAAAUUAUAUAUAUCUAAAUUAUUAGAAACAAAUUUUGAAUAACUAAUAAUUUUUAAAUAUUUUCAUUUAUUUGAUAAAUACCAUAAAAUUACUAGAAAAUUAAUUUUGGAAGAUAAAAAGAUAUAUAUAUAUAUAUUUAAAUUAUAUAUAUGUAAAUUAUUAGAAAAUUAAUUUUGAAUAACUAAUAAAUUUUAAAUAUUUUUAUUUAUUUGAUUAAUUUUAAAAGAUAAAAGUUAUAUAUAUUUAAAUUAUAUAUAUGAAUUAUUAGAAAUUAAUUGCUAUUAUAUUAUUUUCAAAAUUUUAAUUUUAAAAAACAUAUCUCUCUAUAUUGAUUUGGUUUGUUAUUAUAAUUUAAAUAAUUUUGAUAUUUAAAUAAAUUUAAGAUUAUUCAAUUAUAAUUAAAGAAAAAGUUAUACUCUUUAAAAAUCUAUCUUAUGUGUCAUCUAAAAAAAUUAUUCACAUAGACAUCCAUAUGACAAAACCUUAUCAAAUAUUUAUGUAUGUUGUAAUAUAAUGUUUAUAUGAGAUUUUUAAUUACACAAACAAGAUCAAAAGAUUGACACAUGUCCAAUUUCUUUUUUUAAUUUGAGAAAUCUAAAAACUUUCAUUAUACUUUCUCUUUUAUUACUUGGACUUGUCAAAUUCAUGGUUAGUGAAGUUUUAAUUUGAGAAAAAUCUAUUUUUAUACUUUCCCCUUUUUAUUUUUUCUCGUACCAAUCUUUGCCUUGAGUAUUGAGUGCAAAUGUUGAAAAAACUUUUAGCCUUUGCCUUUCAUCACUCUCUUUCCCCUUCUUGUGAUUUCAGAGUUUUUACCUUUUAGCUCGGAGCUCAGUACUAACACUUGAUGCACCAAGUAAAGGUCAAAAUUCCAUCAUUGGUUGAGCUAAAAUACCAUGCCACCUAGAAAGAGAGCUUUUGAGGAAAAAAAACUAGUUGGCCAAGCUAAAACUAAAACCUAAACUAGCCAACCUAUAGAUCGACCCAUAAAUCAACUUGUGCCUGCACUGGCAGACCCUAUAAUGGAGCAAUUCCAAGUUUUAAACCAAUAAUUGCAGUCACUCAAAAAGAUGAUCCUUAACUUUACACCUCCAUAAACUUUCAAAAUACCUAACCUAGUUACUUAUAGAAGACUAUCAACUGAAAGGCAGUCGAGCUAUGAUGACAUUAAAGCCUCAUCAACCUCACGUAAAGAGGAACCCACUACUUCAAUUCCCAAUUACCAUACUCACGCCUCAACACAAGCGAUCACCCAAAAAUCUAAGUAGACCAACCUAGAGCCUUAUUUGAACAGAGACUUGGAAGCUAGAAUACGAGCCAUGGAAAAGAAGUUGAAAGGAAAGAUUAUUCCAUUUGAGGAUGAGCUCAAAUUUUUUGAGACCUCUUUUUUUACCGAGGAGAUUGAUAAACCAUGCCCUUAAAAUGGUUUAAAAUGCUGACCUUGGAGACUUAUGAUGAUACUGUUGGCCCUUUUGAUUAGUUAGAGUUUUACUGAACUAACAUGAUAAUGCUAGAGGCAAAUAAAUCUCUUAUGUAUUGUUAUAAUGUAUCGGUCUAGAGACUCAAUCACUGGAUGUAAGAAUUUAAGAUCAUAAAAAAUAUGAGAAAAACACGUGGAAUGACCACCAAUCUUUUUUAAAGUAUGAUUGACCACACAAAAAUUUUAUCUUUUUAAUAAAAAAAUAAAAUAGGUUUAAUGUUUAUAAAAAAAUAAUUUUGGUUUAUGAAAAUAGGAUUAGAUUCAGGAGUUGAUUAGCAUGGAUAAGGAUUAUACCUCUAUAGAACUGAUAAAAUUGGUACAAAUUAAUUAUGUGCUAUUUAAAAUUUUGGACAAAAUAUUUUUUUAUGAAAUUUAAUUAUAACUUCUUUCAUUUUUAAGAAAUAAAAUUAUUUAAAAAUCUUUACUUAGAAAUGUUGUAAAAAUCUUUAAAUUAAAAAAUACCUUAACAUUCUUCGAUAUAAAGGCAUAAUUCGAAGAUAAUCAUUUCCAUCUAAGAAUUACCACAACAUUUUUUUUAAAAUAAAAAUAAUAUUUUUUGAAUAUGAUAAUUAUUAAUGACUCUUCAACAUUUAGGCAGAAUAUUAAAAAUUAUAUUUUAUGAAAUAUUUUUUAAUUAAUUAAUUUAUUUUUUAAAUCAAUUUUUUGGAAGAAGCUUUUUAUGUAAUAAAAAUGAAAAAAAAAAGAAGCUAUAGUAAACCAUAAGCAACAAUAAUUAAAAUAAAUGCAUAUGCAUAAUGAGCGCAAGAAAAUGAAUAUAUGCAAAUGUGUCUUAAGUGAUAGAGAGAUGUAAAUUUAAAAUCAAGACUUUAAAUAUAAAAAAACCACCUUUGACUGUCUAACUUCUAAAUAGAGUUUGGGUGUGACUUUUUAUAUUUAAAAUCUUAUUUUAUUAUUUUUUAUUUUUUAUUUAAUUAUAUUAUUUUAAAUUAUAAAAUUAUAUAAAAAUUUUUAAUGAAAUAAAAUUUCCUAAAUACCCCAUUAUGUAGGGAGCAUUCAAAAAUAAAUUAUUUCAUAAGAGGCUUUCAUAUAAAUCCUUGAAUUUUGUGAUAGUCUCAAGUUUUUGAGUGAAUUAAGGUUUUGGACUUCACCAAAGGUUUAGAGUUUCACAUAAGAUUUAAGGUUUCAUUUAAGGGUUUAGGAUUUCAUUUUAGAUUUUUACAUUAGGGUUUAGGGUUUCUCCAUUAUGGUUUCAGGUUUCAUUUAAAGGUUUCAAGUCUCAUUUUAAGAUUUUAAUUUUAGGGUUUUAUUUUAGGUUUUUAGUAACUUAUGAACCUCUCUAAAGAUCUCUAACAUCAAGGCAGAUUUUUAGAGCAAACUUAUUUUUUAUAAUUUUCAUAAAUUAAUAUUGAUAUUCUUUAUACAUUAUCCCUUUCAUUAAAAUCCUAUUAUUAUUACUAUUUAUUUAUCUUUUAUUAUUUUUUAUUUUUAAUAUUUAAUGAUUCCUCAAUAUCAAGGUGGAAUUAUUGUUAUUAUUUUUAACAUGAUUCUUUUUAUUCUCUCAAACUUCUAGGUAAGGAUUUAAGACAAUUACUUCUUUUUAUUAUUUUCUAUUAUUAUACUUUAAGAGAUUAAAAAAAUACAAACGUCAUCUAAAAUGCAUGAAUAUAAUUAAAGAUAAUAUAAGCAUGUUAAUUAGUAGGCUAAUUUAUGUACAAAAUUAUUAAACAAUCAAUAUUAAAUUAAAUAGUCAUGUAUUAGUAAAGCAAUAAUAACAUAUAAUAAUAACAAUGAUAAUGCAAAAAGCUAUUCAAACACUCAUAUAAUUUAAGUAUUUUUUUUAUUAAUAUUUCUAUUUUUUAUUAUUUAUUGUUUCUCUUUAUUUAUUUAUAUCCUGGAAAACCUUUUUAACCAUCUUUAACUUACAUUUUAAUUCUAUGACAUAAAUGGGAAACAAAAACAAAGUAAAACAAAUAGCCCUUUUAAAAUAACUCAAAAAAUAAUCUGACAGCCAACCUAGACCAUACCCCAUUACCGUCCCCACCAUCUUCCAUAUGAAAACCCUUUUCUUUUUCUCUUUACACCAUUUGAAGUUUUAAGCUUUAAAGAACAGGUUAAACGCAGAACAAUGGAACUUUUGUCUCAUAGGUACAGAUUCCACAUGAGGAAAAGAAGAGGAAAAGAAAACAACUUCCACGCAAGCCACGUAAAUAGUAGACAUGCCCAAGGACGUCCAAUUUUCUAACUAUUCAUCCCUUUUUUAAGUCGUCAAAACGAGAAAACAUACUCAAAUAAUGCAUCAAAUUUCCAUAACGGCAAGGAACAAGACUAUUUUUUUUUUUUUGUGGAAAAAGAACGAAGAAAGCCAUGCAGGAAAAAAGAGCUAUGAAGUUCCUAUAUGCAGCAACCAACUUAAGAACAAUAAUAACAUGCUCAAGGGAAAUUAAAAAAAAAAAAAUAAAGGCAAGAAGCCAGCUACCUCUCGUCCCUCCUGCCAUUUUCUCCUUUUGUUUUGCCUUUUUCAGUUUCUGGUUUUCAUUUUCAACGCUGCUUGUUCUUUUUCUCGCCUUCUUUGCUGUUCAGUUUACUCUUUUUUUCAGUGUUUUGCGUUUUCUGGUUUGCCUUCUUCCUCCUGAUUGGCUUUUUUGGUUCUUUUCUCUUUCUUUUUCCCGCUUGUUUCCUUGCCCGUUUUUCUGCUUUCUUCCUCUUCUUCCUUCCUUAUGAUUUUCUGCUUCAUGUUUUUGGUUUUUAUGUCUCAGUUUUUCUUCUCGUUUACUACUUCUUUUUGGUCUCUGUUUUUGGCCCUUGCUGAUGAAUGCCUCUAUUUCGUUUCUUCCUUGUCUUCUCUUUUUCUUUUUUUGUUUUCUUUGCUGCGUGCGUGCUUCUCCGCCUCCUUUCUAGAUGCCCAAUUAUUUUGGUCUUUCUCCAUUUGCUCUUCUCUGUUGCUCACGUCCUUUUCAUCUCUUGCUGCCUUCUAGUUUUUCUUUUUGUUACCCAUUUCAGUUUAUUUUUUGCCUUUUGUUUUCUACUGCUUCGUGUAGUUUUUGGUAGUUUUUUUUUUCAGUUUUUCUGCUUUCACGUUCCAGCCCAUGCAAUCUUCAGUUUGCCGCCUCCUCUCUUGCAUGCGUGGGUCCUUCCUAUUUUUUUGCAUGUGGCUUCAAGCCAUUUUCAUUUUAGUUGUUUUUUUUUUUUUUUUUUAAAUGCCAAAUCUUCUCCUAUGACUGAAUGGGCCUAUUUAUUUGUGGUCAUAUAUUGG
rnacentral:lncRNA from 1 species